rfam:Brassica napus, WGS project CCCW01000000 data, contig: 22186
CUGACAGAAGAGAGUGAGCACACAAAAGUAAAUUGCAUAUGUUGCAUUUGCUUCUCUUGCGUGCUCACUGCUCUUUCUGUCAG